GAAAGACCCCGUGAACCUUUACUAUAGCUUGACACUGAACAUUGAGCCUUGAUGUGUAGGAUAGGUGGGAGGCUUUGAAGUGUGGACGCCAGUCUGCAUGGAGCCGACCUUGAAAUACCACCCUUUAAUGUUUGAUGUUCUAACGUGGACCCGUGAUCCGGGUUGCGGACAGUGUCUGGUGGGUAGUUUGACUGGGGCGGUCUCCUCCUAAAGAGUAACGGAGGAGCACGAAGGUUGGCUAAUCCUGGUCGGACAUCAGGAGGUUAGUGCAAUGGCAUAAGCCAGCUUGACUGCGAGCGUGACGGCGCGAGCAGGUGCGAAAGCAGGUCAUAGUGAUCCGGUGGUUCUGAAUGGAAGGGCCAUCGCUCAACGGAUAAAAGGUACUCCGGGGAUAACAGGCUGAUACCGCCCAAGAGUUCAUAUCGACGGCGGUGUUUGGCACCUCGAUGUCGGCUCAUCACAUCCUGGGGCUGAAGUAGGUCCCAAGGGUAUGGCUGUUCGCCAUUUAAAGUGGUACGCGAGCUGGGUUUAGAACGUCGUGAGACAGUUCGGUCCCUAUCUGCCGUGGGCGCUGGAGAACUGAGGGGGGCUGCUCCUAGUACGAGAGGACCGGAGUGGACGCAUCACUGGUGUUCGGGUUGUCAUGCCAAUGGCACUGCCCGGUAGCUAAAUGCGGAAGAGAUAAGUGCUGAAAGCAUCUAAGCACGAAACUUGCCCCGAGAUGAGUUCUCCCUGAGACUUAGAGUCUCCUGAAGGAACGUUGAAGACGACGACGUUGAUAGGCCGGGUGUGUAAGCGCAGCGAUGCGUUGAGCUAACCGGUACUAAUGAACCGUGAGGCUUAACCUUACAACGCCGAAG
rnacentral:rRNA from 1 species